UACGUAGGGUGCAAGCGUUGUCCGGAAUUAUUGGGCGUAAAGAGCUCGUAGGCGGUCUGUUGCGUCGGCUGUGAAAGCCCGGGGCUCAACCCCCGGAUCUGCCGUGCCGGCUCGUCAAACUCGAGGGCUGUAGAGGCAGACGGAAUUCCGGGUGUAGCGGUGGAAUGCGUAGAGAUCCGGAGGAAGACCGGUGGCGAAGGCGGUCUGCUGGGCAGUUCUGACACUGAUGCGCGACAGCGUGGGGAGCAAACAGG
rnacentral:rRNA from 1 species